rnacentral:rRNA from 1 species
UAAGUAGGUAGUGAAAUCUGGUGGCUCAACCAUUCAGACUAUUACCUAAACUGAUAGACUCGAGAGCGUUAGGGGUAGCUGGAAUUUCUAGUGUAGGAGUGAAAUCCGUAGAUAUUAGAAAGAACACCGAUAGCGUAGGCAGGCUACUGGGACGUUUCUGACACUAAGGCACGAAAGCGUAGGGAGCAAACGGGAUUAGAUACCCCGGUAGUCUACGCCGUAAACGAUGGAUACUA